AGGUACACUGCCAAGUUCCCACUUUAUCAGUACAUACACGUUUCAAUUAAUCUAUACAUACUUAACUAGAUUUUAACCCGCGGUAUACCGCGGAAUGAUUUAUUUUUUAAAAGUAAUAUAUAUUAAAAUUUGCAAAUUUUAG
rnacentral:sRNA from 1 species